rnacentral:misc_RNA from 1 species
CCUAUCAUCAAAACUUUGUAUUGAGGGGAAUGCUUGGUAAUACAGCUCAAUAUAUAGGUUAUGCAAUAAGUAAUGCAUGCCCUCUUUCGACCCUGUUUGUCAGCUAAAGAUCCAACAAUUGUACCAAACAACAUGGAGGACCCAAAACCAGCAAUAAAAAGCUGUCCGAUCUCUCCUUUCCCAAAACCAUACUGGCUGUAGAGGAAGUACACAUAUGGACCCUGCAACCAGUCCCCAGCCAUCAUGAGAGAGUAAACGAGAAGGUAAUUGUUCUUGAAGGAAUUGAAAGCAGGUGAAGUGUUGAUUCGGUCUUUAGUUGUCUUGCUCAGCUCUAGUGCUGCCACCACUGCACCCAGUGCUCCAAAAACCAAAUAGUAAAACACCUCCAUUACUAUCUCUUCCUCUUCGCCUCUCUGAUUCUCUUUUCCACAAUCUCUCCGCGUUUGAUUUGAGAGAGAUGAUUAUUAAUAAAGAAAAUGC